GAUGAACGCUAGCGGCAGGCUUAAUACAUGCAAGUCGUGGGGCAGCGCAGUGUAGCAAUACAUGGGCGGCGACCGGCAAACGGGUGCGUAACACGUACGCAACCUUCCCGUUACUGGGGAAUAGCCCAGGGAAACUUGGAUUAAUACCCCAUAUUAUAUUGAUUGGGCAUCUAAUUAAUAUCAAAGCUUCGGCGGUAACGGAUGGGCGUGCGGUUGAUUAGGUAGUUGGCGGAGUAACGGCCCACCAAGCCUACGAUCAAUAGCUGAUGUGAGAGCCUGAUCAGCCACACGGGCACUGAGACACGGGCCCGACUCCUACGGGAGGCAGCAGUAAGGAAUAUUGGGCAAUGGACGAAAGUCUGACCCAGCCAUGCCGCGUGGAGGAUGAAGGUCCUCUGGAUUGUAAACUUCUUUUUUCUGGGGCGAAAACCGGUUUUUCUAAACCACUUGACAGUACCAGAAGAAUAAGCACCGGCUAACUCCGUGCCAGCAGCCGCCGCAGUAA
rnacentral:rRNA from 1 species